rnacentral:rRNA from 1 species
CCUACCCUUGAGAUUGGGAUAACUACCGGAAACGGUAGCUAAUACCGGAUACGAUCUUUUCACAUAAGUGAAUUGGUUAAAAGGCGGAUUUAUCUGCCGCUCAUGGAUGGGCCUGCGGUGCAUUAGCUAGUUGGUGGGGUAGUGGCUUACCAAGGCUUUGACGGGUAGCCGGCCUGAGAGGGUGACCGGCCACAUUGGGACUGAGAUACGGCCCAG